rnacentral:lncRNA from 1 species
UUUCCCCAAAUUCUCCAAAAUUCUACAAAUUCUCCCCAAAUCUCCCCAAUUUUUCCCUAAAUUCCUCAAACAUCCACAAAAAUUCCCAAAAAAUUCCCCGAAAAAUCGCCCAAAAUCCACAAAAAUCCCCAAAAAUCCCCAAAUAUGCCCCAAAAUCCCAAAAAGUUCCCCCAAAAAAAUCCCCAAAAAAUCCCCCAAAUUCCCCCAAAAAUCCCCAAUAUUUCUCCCAAAAUUCCCAAAAACCCCCAAAAUUCCCCAAAAAUUCCCAAAAUUCCCCAAAAUUCCCCAAAAAUUCCCAAAUUUCCCGAAAUUUCCCCAAAUUCCCCCAAGGAGCCGCAGCCGAAAUUCGGGUCCAGAAUUUAUUGGGGUCGGAUUUGGGAUUUGGGGAAUUUGGGGAAUUUUGGGUGAAUUUGGGGAAUUUUGGGGGAUUUUGGGAAUUUUUGGGGAGAUUUGGGGGAUUUUGGGGAAUUUUGGGGAUUUUUGGGGAAUUUUGGGGAAUUUUUGGCAUCAGGAUUUUGGGAUUUUGGGAAUUUUGGGGACUUCUUUUGAUUUUUGGGAUUUUGGGAUUAUUUGGGAAUAUUGGGGGAUUUUUGGGGUAGGAAUUGCAGAUUUUGGGAUUUUUGGGCAUUUUUGGGGAAUUUUUGGGGGGGAAUUGGGGAUUUGGGGAUUUUUUUUGGGAUUUGGGGAUUUUUGGGAUUUUUUGGAAAUUUUUUAUUUCGGGGAUUUUCUUGGAUUUUGGGAUUUUUUUGGGAUUUUUGGGGUUUUUGUGAUUUUGGGGAUUUUUUGGGAUUUUUGGGGUUUUGGGAUUUUUUGGAUGUUUUUUAUUUUUGGGAUUUUGGGGAUUUUGGGGAUUUUUUGGGAUUUUGGGGAUUUUUUGGGGGAUUUUUUUGGGGGAUUUUUUGGGAAUUUUUGGGAUUUUGGGGUUUUUUGUGAUUUUGGGGAUUUU